rnacentral:rRNA from 1 species
GAUGAACGCUGACAGAAUGCUUAACACAUGCAAGUCAACUUGAACUUCGGUUUGGGUGGCGGACGGGUGAGUAACGCGUAAAGAACUUGCCUCACAGAUAGGGACAACAUUUGGAAACGAAUGCUAAUACCUGAUAUUAUGAUUUUAGGGCAUCCUAGAAUUAUGAAAGCUAUAUGCGCUGUGAGAGAGCUUUGCGUCCCAUUAGCUAGUUGGAGAGGUAACGGCUCACCAAGGCGAUGAUGGGUAGCCGGCCUGAGAGGGUGAUCGGCCACAAGGGGACUGAGACACGGCCCUUACUCCUACGGGAGGCAGCAGUGGGGAAUAUUGGACAAUGGACCAAGAGUCUGAUCCAGCAAUUCUGUGUGCACGAUGAAGUUUUUCGGAAUGUAAAGUGCUUUCAGUUGGGAAGAAAAAAAUGACGGUACCAACAGAAGAAGUGACGGCUAAAUACGUGCCAGCAGCCGCGGUAAUACGUAUGUCACAAGCGUUAUCCGGAUUUAUUGGGCGUAAAGCGCGUCUAGGUGGUUAUAUAAGUCUGAUGUGAAAAUGCAGGGCUCAACUCUGUAUUGCGUUGGAAACUGUGUAACUAGAGUACUGGAGAGGUAGGCGGAACUACAAGUGUAGAGGUGAAAUUCGUAGAUAUUUGUAGGAAUGCCGAUGGGGAAGCCAGCUUACUGGACAGAUACUGACGCUGAAGCGCGAAAGCGUGGGUAGCAAACAGG